UCCCCACUUGUCCCUUUAAUUGACAUAGACCCCAGUCAUCUAAUAAUAAUAAAACGAGGAUGGGAUGCUACAUUGGGAAUGGUCGG
rnacentral:tRNA from 2 species